CGGACAGACAGACAAACCCCUCCUCGCUUCUUGCAUUGCUUGCUCCUCUUCUGCCUCCUCGCUCGCGAGGAGUACUUUACUAGUAGUAAAUCCCAAUUUCUUCUUCUAUCCCCUCGCCUCUCUCUCUCUCGUCUCCACAAGACAAGAGGAGUUGGAAACGGGGAGAAGCAAUCCAUCCAUCAAUCAAUCGAUUAACCCUAGCGCCGCCGCCGCAAUGCCGGCCACCGAUUCCUCGUCGGCGGCCGCGCCGCUCACCUCCUUCGGCCGCUCCUUCCUCUCCCACCGCCGCGACCAGAUCCCUCCUCCCCCACCCGACCACCACUCCCACUCCCACACCCAACACCCCUCUUCCUCCGACCUCGAGAUCGACGCCUUCCACCGCCACGCCGCCGACCUCCUCCACGACCUCCUCUCCGACUCCAACUCCGACCCCUCCGCCCCGGACCUCCUCUCCCUCGCUUGGACGCGCCGCCUCCUCGACUCCUUCCUCAUCUGCCUCGAGGAGUUCCGCGCUAUCCUCUUCGCCCUCGCUGACUCCCAGCCCCUCUCCCGCCCCCCGCUCGACCGCCUCCUCCUCGACUUCCUCGACCGCGCCGUCAAGGCCCUCGACCUCUGCAACGCCCUCCGCGACGGCCUCGACCUCAUCCGCCAGUGGCGCAAGCACCUCGCCAUCGCCGCCGCCGCUCUCGCCACCGCCCCCGCCGCGCAGCGAGGAGAGGCCCAGAUCCGCCGCGCCCGCAAGGCCCUCACCGAUCUCACCAUCCUCAUGCUCGACGACAAGGACGCUGGGGGAGUCGUCGGACAGCGCAACCGCUCAUUCGGCAGCGCCAGUACUACUCGGACUCCCUUCCCCACGGCCACGGCCACCACCGCCGGAGCAGCAGCGGCGGGAGCUCCGGGUCCGGCUCUGGCUCCCAUCUCAGGUCACUCUCCUGGAGCGUCUCCCGCACAUGGUCCGCCGCGCGCCAGCUCCAGGCCAUCGGGGGAGGCCUCACGGUGCCCCGCGCGAACGACAUCGCCGCCACCGGAGGCCUCGCCUCCGCCGUCUACGCCAUGGGCGCCGUGCUGUUCGUCGUCACCUGGGCGCUCGUGGCAGCAAUCCCAUGCCAGGACCGCGGCCUCCAGGCGCACCUCACAGCGGUGCCCAGGACCUUCCCCUGGGCUGGCCCCCUCAUCACACUCUUCGACCGCAUCCUCGACGAGUCCAAGAAGAAGGACCGCAAGCACUCAUGCGGCCUGCUCAAGGAGAUCCACCAGAUUGAGCGCUGCUCGCGGCAGCUCAUGGAGGUCACUGAUGCUGCGGAGUUCCCCUUGGCCGACGACAAGGAUUCCGAGGUGCAGGAGGCCACGCAGGAGCUGGUGCAAGUUUGCGGGUCACUCAAGGAUGGGCUGGACCCUCUUGAGCGCCAGGUGCGGGAGAUGUUCCACAGGGUUGUGCGCACCCGGACAGAAAUCCUCGACUACCUCAGUAGGCCGCACAACGCCGGGUGAGGACUCAUUGCUUGAUCCAACUUUGUGUGAAAUGCAGCCGCUCCACCGAGGUAGCUUCUCUGUAAAAGUUAGCAUCUACAUAUACAUGUCUCUGCAUGAAGAAGGCCUGGCCUUAGUUAUGAUACAUUUGAGUUAUUUCUUUCAUUUUUUUUCUCUCCUUUUGUAGCUUGUGAAUCCUUACUUGAGCAGUUCUUCGUACUAAUGGUCUAAUAUCAUUUAUUUCAUUCAUUGCUUGUCCUGGUAAUGUUGAGCACUCUGGUUGGUUUGUUUCCAUGAUUAGUCUGUGGAUUAGGUUUAUAUUGUAAAAAGGCGUGGGCGGGAGUAAUUUAUACAAUCGGAUAGGUUAGCUCAGAUAUUGAGCUGUGAGGUUUUGAUAUACUGCUAUUCCCAACAUUUUGUUUGUUGAUGUUCCAACAAAUGUGUAUAUGAUCGGAAGAAAAAAGAAUACAGAAUUUUAUUGAU